rnacentral:rRNA from 1 species
CCUCGGGGCGCAGCAGUAGGGAAUUUUCGUCAAUGGGCGCAAGCCUGAACGAGCAAUGCCGCGUGAACGAGGAAGGUCUUCGGGUCGUAAAGUUCUGUUGAAGGGGAAAAAGAGCGGAGAGAGGAAAUGGUCUCCGAUUGAUAUUACCCUUCGAGGAAGUCACGGCUAACUACGUGCCAGCAGCCGCGGUAAUACGUAGGUGGCGAGCGUUAUCCGGAAUGAUUGGGCGUAAAGGGUGCGUAGGCGGCCUGCUAAGUCUGGAGUGAAAGGUACCGGCUCAACCGGUAUAGGCUCUGGAAACUGGG